GACGAACGCUGGCGGCGUGCUUAACACAUGCAAGUCGAACGAUGAACCGGGUGCUUGCACUCGGGGAUUAGUGGCGAACGGGUGAGUAACACGUGAGCAACCUGCCCCCGACUCUGGGAUAAGCGCUGGAAACGGCGUCUAAUACUGGAUAUGUCCCGUCACCGCAUGGGGUGCGGGUGGAAAGAUUUUUCGGUUGGGGAUGGGCUCGCGGCCUAUCAGCUUGUUGGUGAGGUAAUGGCUCACCAAGGCGUCGACGGGUAGCCGGCCUGAGAGGGUGACCGGCCACACUGGGACUGAGCCACGGCCCAGACUCCUACGGGAGGCAGCAGUGGGGAAUAUUGCACAAUGGGCGGAAGCCUGAUGCAGCAACGCCGCGUGAGGGAUGACGGCCUUCGGGUUGUAAACCUCUUUUAGCAGGGAAGAAGCGAGAGUGACGGUACCUGCAGAAAAAGCACCGGCUAACUACGUGCCAGCCGCCGCAGUAA
rnacentral:rRNA from 1 species